UCUCGAACGGGACGGUACCGCACAGUGC
rnacentral:sRNA from 1 species